AUUGAACGCUGGCGGCAUGCCUUACACAUGCAAGUCGAACGGCAGCGCGGACUUCGGUCUGGCGGCGAGUGGCGAACGGGUGAGUAAUACAUCGGAACGUACCCUGUUGUGGGGGAUAACUAGUCGAAAGAUUAGCUAAUACCGCAUACGACCUGAGGGUGAAAGUGGGGGACCGCAAGGCCUACCGCAGCAGGAGCGGCCGAUGUCUGAUUAGCUAGUUGGUGGGGUAAAGGCCCACCAAGGCGACGAUCAGUAGCUGGUCUGAGAGGACGAUCAGCCACACUGGGACUGAGACACGGCCCAGACUCCUACGGGAGGCAGCAGUGGGGAAUUUUGGACAAUGGGGGCAACCCUGAUCCAGCAAUGCCGCGUGUGUGAAGAAGGCCUUCGGGUUGUAAAGCACUUUUGUCCGGAAAGAAAUCGCGCUGGUUAAUACCUGGCGUGGAUGACGGUACCGGAAGAAUAGGCACCGGCUAACUACGUGCCAGCAGCCGCAGUAA
rnacentral:rRNA from 1 species